AUUGAACGCUGGCGGCAGGCCUAACACAUGCAAGUCGAACGGUAACAGAAAGUAGCUUGCUACUUUGCUGACGAGUGGCGGACGGGUGAGUAAUGUCUGGGGAUCUGCCUGAUGGAGGGGGAUAACUACUGGAAACGGUAGCUAAUACCGCAUAAUGUCGCAAGACCAAAGCGGGGGACUUUCGGGCCUCGCACCAUCCGAUGAACCCAGAUGGGAUUAGCUAGUAGGUAAGGUAAUGGCUUACCUAGGCGACGAUCCCUAGCUGGUCUGAGAGGAUGACCAGCCACACUGGAACUGAGACACGGUCCAGACUCCUACGGGAGGCAGCAGUGGGGAAUAUUGCACAAUGGGCGCAAGCCUGAUGCAGCCAUGCCGCGUGUAUGAAGAAGGCCUUCGGGUUGUAAAGUACUUUCAGUCAGGAGGAAGGGUGUGAAAUUAAUACUUUCAUGCAUUGACGUUACUGACAGAAGAAGCACCGGCUAACUCCGUGCCAGCCGCCGCCGUAA
rnacentral:rRNA from 1 species